rnacentral:rRNA from 1 species
UAUCUCUGUAGAGUCUGCAUAUCAAUAAGCGGAGGAAAAGAAACUAACAAGGAUUCCCUUAGUAACGGCGAGUGAAGCGGGAAGAGCUCAAAUUUGAAAUCUUCAAGGUUCUACCUUGACGAAUUGUAGUUUAAAGAAGUGUUUUCUGUUAGAUUUGAGUAGGAAAGUUCCUUGGAAUAGGGACAUCAUAGAGGGUGAGAAUCCCGUAUUUGGACUAUUCAUUUCCUAGCUUUGUGAUACACUUUCAAAGAGUCGGAUUGUUUGGGAAUGCAGUCCAAAAUGGGUGGUAAAUUUCAUCUAAAGCUAAAUACUGGCGAGAGACCGAUAGCGAACAAGUACCGUGAGGGAAAGAUGAAAAGAACUUUGAAAAGAGAGUUAAACAGUACGUGAAAUUGUCAAAAGGGAAGCGUUUGACACCAGUGUUGUUUUUCCGAAAAUCAAUUACGAAUGGCUUGAUUCUGUGUUGUAUUGACCUUAUCAGCUUUCUGCACUUUUUUUCGAGUCUUUCUUAAUGCACUUUUUCGGUUAACAAGUCAACAUCAAUUUCUUUUGUUGUAAAAGAGUAUUCGGAAGGUGGCUUUCUUUUCGGAGAAAGUGUUUAUAGCCCUAUACUUCUACAAUCGGAGAGAUUGAGGUCUGCAGCGUAGAUCCUUCGGGGUUAGAUACACUUGUGCUAAGUUGUUAGCUUUUCAUAGACAACUUGUUGACUAUGUUUAGUCAUGCGGCUUACUCGCUUGUGCUAUUUUACCUACGCUUAGGAUGUUGAAGAUGUAGCACAUCAU